AAUGGAGAGAUGUCUUUAUACUGGUACAUGUACACCACCUGAUCUGGUCAUUAGAACAUGAGGAGAAGUGAGGUUAAGUGACUUCCUUAUAUGGCAGAGCUCUUAUUCUUGUCUCUGUUUUCAAGAUGUGUUGUGGCCGGAGUUUUCAAUUUGGAAUUUAUUCUCUUCGAUAUUAACAUACCAACAGAAUUACAAUAAUAUAAAGGUAGCAAGAGAGUACAUGUACAUUGAGAGGAAGGACAAGCAGUAUAAAUCAGACAGAGACUGUGCAUC